CAUGAAACACCAGAUGCACGGUGCUCGUCUCUUGCAACUUGAGCUUGUACGCCACACUGCCCAUCUUCUGGAUAACCUGAAUUGGGCCAAAGUACUAGAACAAGAGUUUAGUGUUAGCUCGAGUAGUCGAUGAUCGUGGGAGGAAGGGUUGCAAUUUGAGGACCACCCAAUCAUGCACUUCAAACACAUAAUCAGAACGACGUUUGUCCGCUGAUUACUUCAUGUGUUGCCUGUCUCGAAGAAGAUGUUGUUGCAGCAUGGUUU
rnacentral:lncRNA from 1 species